GACGAACGCUGGCGGCGUGCUUAACACAUGCAAGUCGAACGGAAAGGCCCUGCUUUUGUGGGGUGCUCGAGUGGCGAACGGGUGAGUAACACGUGAGUAACCUGCCCUUGACUUUGGGAUAACUUCAGGAAACUGGGGCUAAUACCGGAUAGGAGCUCCUGCUGCAUGGUGGGGGUUGGAAAGUUUCGGCGGUUGGAGAUGGACUCGCGGCUUAUCAGCUUGUUGGUGGGGUAGUGGCUUACCAAGGCUUUGACGGGUAGCCGGCCUGAGAGGGUGGCCGGCCACAUUGGGACUGAGAUACGGCCCAGACUCCUACGGGAGGCAGCAGUGGGGAAUAUUGCACAAUGGGCGGAAGCCUGAUGCAGCAACGCCGCGUGCGGGAUGACGGCCUUCGGGUUGUAAACCGCUUUCGCCUGUGACGAAGCGUGAGUGACGGUAAUGGGUAAAGAAGCACCGGCUAACUACGUG
rnacentral:rRNA from 1 species